UUGGUGGAGUCAUUUUAUGAUUUUACGACGUGGUUGAUUUGAAGGGAAGUGAGAAAUUAAAAUCUUGGAAUAAUUAUAAUCUUUUGGACUUUUGGACUUGAGGACAAAAUUUUGUCACAAGUUUAUUCAGUUGACUAAAAUAAUUAAGUUAAGUGCAUAGAUAAUACUUUUUAUGUAUUUAUUUAUCACUUAAUUCGCCCAGUUGUACCUCGUGUUUAGAAUUGUGCUACACACAUAUUUACGUAUUCAGUUUCAACUUAAGUGACUUGACGACUACCCCCCUCGCCUGCCCCCUCAAGUUCCAGGAGGGACCAGCAGCUUUCCGACUUGUCGUCGCCCCACGCGGCCAGCGACUGCGAGGAGAGACUGCGCUUGAGCAGUUUUCCGUACUCGAGGGACAACUCUUCCCACUCGGACUCGUCACUGGUGGGUGUGCCCAAAUGGAUCGGCACGGUCACCUUCAAGUUGACAAACUUCGCGACGAUGAACUAAGUUUAAGAGAAAAUAUUUUGAUCAUAUACAUACUUAGAUUUUUUUUAAUGUACAACAAUUUGUAAAAAAUUGUAACAUUAUUCCUAAAAAAUUGCAGGGGGAAAAUGACUUUACAAGUUUACAAACGUCUUGAAAAAAUCAGAACUUACAAGUAUGCAAUAGGACACUUUAAUGAGUGGACAACCCUCCGCCCCCAUUUCGGAGGGGACGGUGUGCGGAAUUUGGAAGCUCCAAUUCCAAGGGACCGUUCUCCCCGGGCCUGGCGGAAUUGUGGGGCCCUCCUUCUGAACCAGGAAAUUCACCUCCUUAUCCUUUUGCAGAAACAGGCUCGGCAUUCCGGAAAAGUCGUAGGUCACAUUCUAUAAAAACAACAAAAACGUCAUAGAAAAGUCGUACGUGACUCCGUAUAAAAACUGAACUUGAACAAAUUUCAGAAACAAUGAAUUCAAACAUGGCUUGGUAACGAUUUAAAAUCCAUAAGUUCUGUAAACUUACAAAGUUUUAUUAAAUUUUACCAAUAUUUCUCAGGAAAAUUAGCCACAAAUUUUAGAUAAGUUUACAAACAAAUUUUUGCAAACUUGCUCAGAUUAAGUGCGUCCCUUUAUUAUACAAAGUUACCAAGAACUGCGUGAAUUGUCUGGGAUAAAAUUUUGCACUUGUUUGGAGAGGAUUCUAAAUAUUUGACAUUUGACCUUUCUAAUUCAGUAUUUUUCGGUCACCAAUUAUACAUAAUAUUCGUCGAUACAAUGUAAUUUCUAUGUAAUGCUAACCUGCUGGAAAACCAUUUUAAUCGCACCCAACGGUAAUUUCAACCCAUUUUCCACCUUAACCCGGAAGCUGAACAUGUCACCCGGCGUGGCACACAUUUUGUCCAGGUGAACGCUCAAUUUCGCCGUCUGGUUUCCGCCCGAUUUUGAGGAAAAGUGUGCAAAUAUCAAUUACUUAUUAUCGAUUACUUAUGUAUCGAUUAUUAUCUAUCAAUAACUCGAUAUUGUCAAGAUUUGCGAAAAAAAUCUAUAUCGUGCAUAUGCUUUACCUAUUCGUUAAUCCCUAAUUACUGUCCAGACAUUAAUUAGUAAUUUAGCUACGAAUAAAUAUUUUUACAAAUCGUUA